rnacentral:rRNA from 1 species
GACGGAGGAUGCAAGCGUUAUCCGGAAUGAUUGGGCGUAAAGCGUCUGUAGGUGGCUUUUUAAGUCUGCCGUCAAAUCCCAGGGCUUAACCCUGGACAGGCGGUGGAAACUACCAAGCUGGAGUACGGUAGGGGCAGAGGGAAUUUCCGGUGGAGCGGUGAAAUGCGUAGAUAUUGGGAGGAACACCAGUGGCGAAGGCGGCUCACUGGACCGGAACUGACGCUGAGGCGCGAAAGCGUGGGGAGCAAACAGG